rnacentral:rRNA from 1 species
GAUGAACGCUGGCGGCGUGCCUAAUACAUGCAAGUCGAGCGAACAGACGAGGAGCUUGCUCCUCUGACGUUAGCGGCGGACGGGUGGGUAACACGUGGAUAACCUACCUAUAAGACUGGGAUAACUUCGGGAAACCGGAGCUAAUACCGGAUAAUAUAUUGAACCGCAUGGUUCAAUAGUGAAAGACGGUUUUGCUGUCACUUAUAGAUGGAUCCGCGCCGCAUUAGCUAGUUGGUAAGGUAACGGCUUACCAAGGCGACGAUGCGUAGCCGACCUGAGAGGAUGAUCGGCCACACUGGAACUGAGACACGGUCCAGACUCCUACGGGAGGCAGCAGUAGGGAAUCUUCCGCAAUGGGCGAAAGCCUGACGGAGCAACGCCGCGUGAGUGAUGAAGGUCUUCGGAUCGUAAAACUCUGUUAUUAGGGAAGAACAAAUGUGUAAGUAACUAUGCACGUCUUGACGGUACCUAAUCAGAAAGCCACGGCUAACUACGUG